rnacentral:tmRNA from 3 species
GGGUAUGCUAGGCCUCGAGCAAGUGUUCCUUCCAUCUAUUAGCGUGUCGUGUGUUGAAUUGGGCACACGCAAAACUCUUCAAUUCACUAGUUACGUGCAAACUUCGUAUCUCGCGUGAAGACUGCUUUUGCUAACGCAUUCGCACCUUCAUUUGCGACAGCAUUGGCGUAAAUUCCAGUGCCAUCGACUUACGUCAUCCGUCGGAUGUUCGUUCGGUGCAAUUCAGACGGAUAUAAUUUCUCUACUGUAGUGAUAGGGAAAUACGAACUGCACUUCACUGCGCGGAUGAAUGUGUCUUUGCUGUUUCUUGCACACUCAUACGUACUUUAAAACAGCUGCACACGGAGAAGAUGAUGGAAUAGCGUUUGCCACGGCGGUUCAAUUCCGCCCAUAUCCACAU